rnacentral:misc_RNA from 1 species
CCGAGUGAGGGCCCUCUGGGUCCAACCUCCCACCCGUGUUUACCAUACCCUGUUGCUUCGGCGGGCCCGCCCUCAGCGGCCGCCGGGAUGGCCCCUUGCGCCGCCGGAGCCCGCGCCUAGAGCCUUUUACGAGUCUUCUGAGUGCAAAAGCUAAAGCUUA